rnacentral:rRNA from 1 species
CAGCAGCCGCGGUAAACCGUAGGUGGCGAGCGUUAUCCGGAUUUAUUGGGCGUAAAGAGGGCGCAGGCGGCCUUUCAAGUCGGAUGUAAAAUCUCCCGGCUUAACUGGGAGGGACCAUUCGAUACUGUUGGGCUAGAGGGCAGCAGAGGAAGGUGGAAUUCCCGGU